rnacentral:rRNA from 1 species
AUAAUGGAGAGUUUGAUCCUGGCUCAGAGUGAACGCUGGCGGCGUGGCUAAGACAUGCAAGUCGAGCGGGAUUUAUUGACAUGAGUCGCAAGAUGAAUGGAAGUGAUGAGAGCGGCAAAC